AACGUAGGUCACAAGCGUUGUCCGGAAUUACUGGGUGUAAAGGGAGCGCAGGCGGGAGAACAAGUUGGAAGUGAAAUCCAUGGGCUCAACCCAUGAACUGCUUUCAAAACUGCUUUUCUUGAGUAGUGCAGAGGUAGGCGGAAUUCCCGGUGUAGCGGUGGAAUGCGUAGAUAUCGGGAGGAACACCAGUGGCGAAGGCGGCCUACUGGGCACCAACUGACGCUGAGGCUCGAAAGUGUGGGUAGCAAACAGG
rnacentral:rRNA from 1 species